AACGAACGCUGGCGGCAGGCUUAACACAUGCAAGUCGAGCGCCCCGCAAGGGGAGCGGCAGACGGGUGAGUAACGCGUGGGAAUCUACCGUACCCUACGGAAUAGCUCCGGGAAACUGGAAUUAAUACCGUAUACGCCCUACGGGGGAAAGAUUUAUCGGGGUAUGAUGAGCCCGCGUUGGAUUAGCUAGUUGGUGGGGUAAAGGCCUACCAAGGCGACGAUCCAUAGCUGGUCUGAGAGGAUGAUCAGCCACAUUGGGACUGUGACACGGCCCAAACUCCUACGGGAGGCAGCAGUGGGGAAUAUUGGACAAUGGGCGCAAGCCUGAUCCAGCCAUGCCGCGUGAGUGAUGAAGGUCUUAGGAUUGUAAAGCUCUUUCACCGAUGAAGAUAAUGACGGUAGUCGGAGAAGAAGCCCCGGCUAACCUCGUGCCAGCAGCCGCCGUAA
rnacentral:rRNA from 1 species